CACGUAGGGGGCAAGCGUUGUCCGGAUUUAUUGGGCGUAAAGAGCUCGUAGGCGGUUUCGUAAGUCGGAUGUGAAAACUCCAGGCUCAACUUGGAGACGCCAUUCGAUACUGCGAUGACUUGAGUCCGGUAGGGGAGUGUGGAAUUCCUGGUGUAGCGGUGAAAUGCGCAGAUAUCAGGAGGAACACCGGCGGCGAAGGCGGCACUCUGGGCCGGCACUGACGCUGAGGGGCGAAAGCGUGGGUAGCAAACAGG
rnacentral:rRNA from 1 species